rnacentral:rRNA from 1 species
CCUACGUGAGGCUGCAGUGAGGAAUAUUGGUCAAUGGGCGCGAGCCUGAACCAGCCAAGUAGCGUGAAGGCUGACUGCCCUACGGGUUGUAAACUUCUUUUAUAAAGGAAUAAAGUGAGGCACGUGUGCCUUUUUGUAUGUACUUUAUGAAUAAGGAUCGGCUAACUCCGUGCCAGCAGCCGCGGUAAUACGGAGGAUCCGAUCGUUAUCCGGAUUUAUUGGGUUGAAAGGGAGCGUAGAUGGGUUGUUAAGUCAGUUGUGAAAGUUUGCGGCUCAACCGUAAAAUUGCAAUUGAUACUGGCAGUCUUGAGUACAGUUGAGGUAGGCGGAAUUCGUGGUGUAGCGGUGAAAUGCUUAGAUAUCACGAAGAACUCCGAUUGCGAAGGCAGCUUACUAAACUGCCACUGACAUUGAUGCUCGAAAGUGUGGGUAUCAAACAGGAUUAGAUACCCUGGUAGUC